GACGAACGCUGGCGGCGUGCUUAACACAUGCAAGUCGAACGGAAAGGCCCUUCGUGGUACUCGAGUUGCGAACGGGUGAGUAACACGUGGGUGAUAUGCCCUUCCCUUUGGGAUAAGCCUGGGUUACUGGGACUGAUGCCGAAUAGGGCUACGCGCUUCAUGUUCUGGGUUGGAGAGGGUUUGCGGUGGGGGAUGGGCACGCGGCCUAUCAGCUUGUUGGUGGGGUAAUGGCCUACCAAGGCGACGACGGGUAGCCGGCCUGAGAGGGUGACCGGCCACACUGGGACUGAGAUACGGCCCAGACUCCUACGGGAGGCAGCAGUGGGGAAUAUUGCACAAUGGGCGCAAGCCUGAUGCAGCGACGCCGCGUGAGGGAUGACGGCCUUCGGGUUGUAAACCGCUUUCAAUAGGGACGAAGCGCAAGUGACGGUACCUAUAGAAGAAGCACCGGCUAACUACGUG
rnacentral:rRNA from 1 species